rnacentral:rRNA from 1 species
GUCUACGGCUAUGCUACCCUGAACAAGCCCGAUCUCAUCUUAUCUCGGAAGCUAAGCAGGGUUGGGCCUUGUUAGUACUUGGAUAGGAGACCACCUAGGAUGACCAGGUGCUGUAGGCA